GAGAGCCGGUGGAAGGACUGGGUGAGCUCAUCGCGAGCGUAGCUAAGCGAAUUGGGCACGUGGUUGUGGCCAGAGCACCGGCCCUUCUUGGGGCUCUUGCAGUCCUCAUUCCAGUCAGUUUUCACGUCUCGGACAGCCCGGGAAUACUCAUCGAUGUCGAACUGUUCCUGGCAGAUACCCAGCCAGUGAUGGACCAGGGUUUCGGGCCACACUUCUCCCUUCACCAAGUGUUCUGGGAGGCUAAACUUGGGGACGGUCAAGUGCAAAGGGAAGUGCAUGGGGAGGAUCUUGUUGUUCCGCAGCACACAGCAAACCACCACUGUCUUGGUCUGGAUGUUCACAAACUUGUAGCGAUGCCCCUCACGGAUGAAGUGGAGGUCGUAGGGGUUCCUGGGGGGAGGGCUGGGCACAGUCACAUUCACGGGGAGCCUGGUUUUCUCCACAAUGUUGCGGAUGGUGUGUUCGCCCUCCUGCAUCUGAAGCUCCAGGGGACUCCGGGUGCUAAAUCUGCCCUUGCACUGGAAUGGAAGGCUAAUGCUUUCAUUGGUCCGGUGAUUCAUGCAAAUGAGGCAGGGCAUUUUGCCUUUGCCCAGCUUACUGAUGGAAUUGAGUUUCCCAAUCUUUUUGAAGAUUGUGUUGAGUCGUGACUUUUCUUUGAAAGUCUUUGCAUACAAGAUUUCUGCCUGCCCCAUUAGAGUGAGUUCAUCCCCAGUACAGAGGGUGAUGUUGUAAACUUCCGUGUCCUCGUUGCACUCACCCGAGGCAACCUACAAUAGGAUAUAUCAAAUUUUAGGUUAGUUUCCCUUAGUCCAUUCCCACAAAGAAGGAGACAACUUGCCAUUAAGAUACGCGAGCACACAUACAGAGGAAAACGCUAUUUUAACAUUCCCUGUAUAAAAUUUAUAUGGUUGGGGCGCCUGGGUGGCGCAGUCGGUUAAGCGUCCGACUUCAGCCAGGUCACGAUCUCGCGGUCCGUGAGUUCGAGCCCCGCGUCAGGCUCUGGGCUGAUGGCUCAGAGCCUGGAGCCUGUUUCCGAUUCUGUGUCUCCCUCUCUCUCUGCCCCUUCCCCGUUCAUGCUCUGUCUCUCUCUGUCCCAAAAAUAAAUAAACGUUGAAAAAAAAAUUAAAAAAAAUUAAUAAAAAAAAAUAAAAUUUAUAUGGUUAACAAUAACACGAAGAUACUCGUUUAACCUUUUAAAAACACUCUGUUCUGAAGAAAAAAGCAAUCUGUUCAUUAAUAAAAAUUUGACAAGCACAGAGAAAAGACACAAAAAGAAAAUAACACCCACGGGCCUGAUUCAGAGACAGCCAUGGUUAAUGGUUUGAUAAACAUCCUUCCAGUUUCUUUGUCUAUGUAGAAUAGCCUAUCUUAUGAAUAAUUAUUUGGGGACAUUAAUCUCAUCAUUCUGUCUUUUCCAGUUAUAAAAAACGCUUCCAUGAACACCACUGUAAGAAAAUUCCUUAUUUUUUAGUAUUAAAAUUUUAUGAAACUUUCUGAAAUUGGAAUUGGGACAGAGGAUGUAAAAAUGUUUUAUUUCUCCCUGUUCUUGAAUUUUAUUCUACUCAUGUUCGUUGGAAGAAAUAUUAGAAAAUACAGAUGUAAAAAUGAACAAAUUCUAUAGUUUUACCACUAAAGAUAAUCUAUGUUAACAAUUUUAUAUAAACAAGAGAAAAAAAAGAAAUGAGACGUGUCGUCUAUCUCAGAGAUUUGUGAACACACACACAGAGUUUUCUUGUUUCGUUUCUCACUAUAUUCAUUUUCUCAUGUACUGACCUUCUGUAUUUGAUAAUCUGGGGAUGUGCCUUAAUUUUUGACUAGUUCUUUAUUAUUCGAUGAGUUUUCCCAAUGUUUGGCAAUUGUAAAUAGUACUGCAACGAAUUUUAUUUUAUUUAUUUAUUUUUUUUACAGUUCAACUAUUUCCUUAGGAUAAAGGCCCAGAAGUUGAAUUGCAUGGGUAAAGCUAUAUAUGCACUUGAGAGGUCUGAUAUGUACUUGCUGUUGUGCUUUAUCAAUGUUAUAGUUAUUUAUACUUCUUCCACUUUAUGAAAUUACCUGCCUCUCCAUACUCAGGAUAAAGAAGUUUAACAUUUGCCAAUAUUAAAGGUAAAGCAUGCAUCCUGCGUUUAUUCAUUCACAUUUUAUUUCCAUUUGCUUUAGUUGACUAUUAGGAUGGUGAAUAUGUUUUGGUAUUUUUUAUGUGGCUAUUUAGGUCUCUUACUUUGUGACUGUCUAUUUGUGUCCUUCACCCAUUUUGCUAAUGGGAUGGUCAUCUUACCUGUUACUUUUCAUGUAAUGUGAAUGUCCUUAAUGCUCUAUAUUUUUCAAUUUGUUGCUUGAAUUUCAACCUUAUAACUUCUUUAAGUGCUAAAGGUUUGUCUUCCUAUGUAGCAAACAUUUUCAAAAUCUUCCUUUGUAAUUUCAUUCUUGGGCAUUACGCUUCUACUAGUUAAUACAAAUCAUUGGUUCUGAGUUAGGCGUGAUUUUGUCCCCAUUCUCCAGGCCCUGGGGACAUCUGACAAAGUUUGGAGACGUUUUUGAUUGUCAUGGCUGGGAGGGUGCUACUUACACCUAGCAGGUAGAGGCCAGGUAUGUUGUUAAACAUGCCACAAUCACAGAACAAUCCUUCAUGGCAAAGAAUGAUCUGGUCCAGAUUUCAGUAGUGCUGAGAUUGAGAAAAACUGAUACAUUUAUUUAUUUAUUUAUUUUUUUAAUUUUUUUUUUUCAACGUUUAUUUAUUUUUGGGACAGAGAGAGACGGAGACACAGAAUCGGAAACAGGCUCCAGGCUCUGAGCCAUCAGCCCAGAGCCCGACGCGGGGCUUGAACUCACGGACCGCGAGAUCAUGACCUGGCUGAAGUCGGACGCUUAACCGACUGCGCCACCCAGGCACCCCAAAAACUGAUACAUUUAACCAAUAUUUUCUUCUAGUAUUUUGAUGGUGUUUCAUUUAUUAACUAUUUAACUUAUUUAAUUAAAAUUUCUUUGAUGGAUUAUGAAAGGUAGAGAUCUCACUUUCAUUUUUUAAACAGUUAAUGACUGCCCAGUAUACUUCUUAAAUAACUAUUUUCAUCAUGGAUUUCAAGUGCUGCUACUUUGAUCAUGCACUAAAUUUAUACAAGACAUGGGGUGCCUGCCUGGCUCAGUGGGUAGAGCAUGCGACUCUUGAUCUCGGGGUUGUGAGUUCAAGCCCCACGCUGGGCAUGGAGUCCAAAUAAAAAAAUUAAAAACAAUUAUAAAACACGUACAUUCAUUGUAACUUAUAUUUGUAUCUACUUUGGGGCCAUUUAUCUUAAUGACCUUUCUGCCUACUGUCUUAUCAUAACUAAGUUGUUUCAAUUUCUACGUCUUUAUCUUACAUUUUCAGAUCUGAUAACAAAAGCCCUCAUUUGUGGUUAUUCUGACUCAAAACAGUUUUGGGUGGCAAGAAAUGAGAAGCAA
rnacentral:lncRNA from 1 species